rnacentral:rRNA from 1 species
UUAACGCUGAGGUGUGAUGACGAGGCACUACGGUGCUGAAGUGAUAAAUGCCCUGCUUCCAGGAAAAGCCUCUAAGCAUCAGGUAACACGAAAUCGUACCCCAAACCGACACAGGUGGUCAGGUAGAGAAUACCAAGGCGCUUGAGAGAACUCGGGUGAAGGAACUAGGCAAAAUGGUGCCGUAACUUCGGGAGAAGGCACGCUGAUAUGUAGGUGAAGUCCCUGCGGACGGAGCUGAAAUCAGUCGAAGAUACCAGCUGGCUGCAACUGUUUAUUAAAAACACAGCACUGUGCAAACACGAAAGUGGACGUAUACGGUGUGACGCCUGCCCGGUGCCGGAAGGUUAAUUGAUGGGGUUAGCGGCAACGCGAAGCUCUUGAUCGAAGCCCCGGUAAACGGCGGCCGUAACUAUAACGGUCCUAAGGUAGCGAAAUUCCUUGUCGGGUAAGUUCCGACCUGCACGAAUGGCGUAAUGAUGGCCAGGCUGUCUCCACCCGAGACUCAGUGAAAUUGAACUCGCUGUGAAGAUGCAGUGUACCCGCGGCAAGACGGAAAGACCCCGUGAACCUUUACUAUAGCUUGACACUGAACACUGGUCCUUGAUGUGUAGGAUAGGUGGGAGGCUUUGAAGCGUGGACGCCAGUCUGCGUGGAGCCAACCUUGAAAUACCACCCUUUAAUGGCUGGUGUUCUAACGUAGACCCGUAAUCCGGGUUGCGGACAGUGUCUGGUGGGUAGUUUGACUGGGGCGGUCUCCUCCCAAAGAGUAACGGAGGAGCACGAAGGUUGGCUAAUCCUGGUCGGACAUCAGGAGGUUAGUGCAAUGGCAUAAGCCAGCUUGACUGCGAGCGUGACGGCGCGAGCAGGUGCGAAAGCAGGUCAUAGUGAUCCGGUGGUUCUGAAUGGAAGGGCCAUCGCUCAACGGAUAAAAGGUACUCCGGGGAUAACAGGCUGAUACCGCCCAAGAGUUCAUAUCGACGGCGGUGUUUGGCACCUCGAUGUCGGCUCAUCACAUCCUGGGGCUGAAGUAGGUCCCAAGGGUAUGGCUGUUCGCCAUUUAAAGUGGUACGCGAGCUGGGUUUAGAACGUCGUGAGACAGUUCGGUCCCUAUCUGCCGUGGGCGCUGGAGAAUUGAGGGGGGCUGCUCCUAGUACGAGAGGACCGGAGUGGACGCAUCACUGGUGUUCGGGUUGUCAUGCCAAUGGCACUGCCCGGUAGCUAAAUGCGGAAAAGAUAAGUGCUGAAAGCAUCUAAGCACGAAACUUGCCCCGAGAUGAGUUCUCCCUGAGACUUUAAGUCUCCUGAAGGAACGUUGAAGACGACGACGUUGAUAGGUCGGGUGUGUAAGCGCAGCGAUGCGUUGAGCUAACCGAUACUAAUGAACCGUGAGGCUUAACCUU